CAAUAAGAAAUUAAAGAAAUACAUUGUUUGAUCUGUUGUCUCCCGGAAAAUUAAAAUGUUGGAGAAAUUAUUUUGCACACUUAAUUUAAGUGUAAACGUAGAAAAUAAAAUAAAGUUAUAUUUUGACUAAAACAAUAAACAUAUUUAAACUCUGAACUUGACGUCACUGAGGGGAGGGUGGCAGAUCUUGUGAUUUCUUAUUAAAACUGUAUGGUUUAGAAUUUUUUUUAAAAAAUCAUGUGGCAUCGAUGAUAUGACAAAUGAAAUAUAUUCAGAGUGCUUCGCAGUCGGACUAUUUUUCAAAAUAUAAUUUCACAAAAUAAUUUUCAUAACUUUUUAAGAAUAGUUUGCGUAAACCGCUAAAUCUAGGGGUUUAAGAUAAAAAGAAAAUUGUUGGAGACAGGAGGGAAUCAAGUAGACCGCUCAAUCUAUGGGUUUGAGAUAAAAAAGAAAAAUGUUGGAGACAGGAGGGAGUCAAGUAGACCGCUGAAUCUAUGGGUUUAAGAUAAAGAAGAAAAAUGUUGGAGACAGGAGGGAAUCACGUUUUUGUGCUUUCCAAAAUGUGGCCAACAUUCUCAGGCUCUCCGAAGAUCAAUAUCAGGACCAGUUUUGUUUUUGCAAAAGAAAAUAUUUCUCAUAUCUGACCUCAGAUUUCUCACCGGACCUAACUCUAGACUGAACCUGAAGAAUCCAGAGACGUGGAGAAGUCUAUCCAAGGUUCGGGAACGAGGAAAGGGUUAUCAUCAAGCGCUAUAUCUCUCAAUCCCAGUCCAAAAACUUACCUCUAUCCAUACUGCAGGAUGUGUAUACCGAGCCACACAUAUGACCGUGGGAGGAGGAGGGUCGGAUAGGUAUGGUUGGAUUGGAAAGAAGGUUCAAGAAUGGAGAGAAAGGUUUUACUCCGACCCUGAUCUGGUCGGAGCCUGGCUCCUUAUCAACAUGACAAUUGCAAUCAUCAUUUGCGUCCUAGGUUUUAGCUUUAAACAUCUUUUUGAACCGGAGAAUGAGAGACUGACCUCCGAAGAGGAGGAGAGGUUAUCUAUGGUGUUUGGACUCACAGAUUAGAUGUCAAGCUUAUCAGUAGAAUAUGCUAUAGACAUAUAAAUAAAUAUUCAUAAAUGUUCAAGAAUGUUAAUAAAUGAAAUAUAAUCAUUUUUUAAAGUAAA